CACACUUUCAUAAUUUCUGAGCUUUCUGAAUAUGCAUAUUAUGGGGUUCUUGGCUCCUUUAACAGGCACUGUCUCUCCUCCUGUGGUCAUGAUGCAUUAAAAGUCUUUUCUCCAACAGGUGAAACUUCCUGGUGAUACUUUCAAAGAAGGAAAGUACAGUAUAAAACUGAAUUCUAGUCCUGGGAGAUCAAAUGACAUGAAGAUGAUGGAUUGUUGAGGAUAUCUUGAAAUGAACAGUGCCUGUUCCAUUUAUGAAUAUAACAACCUUCAAGCCAUCCUCAUGGAAACAGACUGAUUCCUUUACCAAACCGCUUCCUGCCACGUGCUACUCCUUACAGGUUUAAUACAGAAAGGUGAGAUGGAUUUAAGCCUGAAGAUCUGUUUGGCAUUAAGAAUUGAUACUGUACAAGCCCUUGUGAAUUAUGUGCAUGGUUACUAAACGUAUAUGCUGUGUUUUUGUGAAGCUGCAAGCACAUAAAUGACAGUUUUUAGUUUUUUAUGUUAAUACCCUUCUACAAAUUUCCUAUCCAUGGAAGCACAGUAAACAAAUAGAAUUUUGCCAUGGGACAGAACUGCAUGGAGCACAGAAGAAAGAUUGGAGUUUUACUGGCACACUACUGUUUCUUUUUGCUCAGGCAUGCUGCUUGAUAAAAGUGACUGUUUACUUGCAUACAGUGCAGUUUGAUAAAAGUCAUCAUUUUAUUAAAAAAAAAAUUAUAGAGUAUUGUUUUCAUCUUAAUUUUUAAUUGCAAUUUCUGUUACUUUACUUUCAACUUUUGUGUUCUGUCCUGCAACGUAACAGUUUCUCACCUCUGGUUGUUUUGCCUCAACCUCAAGCACUUAGAUGGGAAUUUUUGAAACUUUCAUCCUGGGAUGUCUGCUUUUCCUGUACACAUUAUCUUACUGAGCUAAUGGUGACAUGGCUUUUGAUGAGACAAAGAAUUCUGUAAUUAUAGGAGUCCAGCAUAUUUUGUCAAGACAAGGCUGACCUACUUGCCACAGGGACCAUAAAGAUCUAUUUGUCUGUCAUCUCCACCACUUUAAGACAUGCUAGAUGUUAGGCCUCCUCCAAACAUGCAACCCAGUAUCCCUCUAAGGACAGUAUGGAGAGAAGCUGGAUGUGAACCUACUCACUUGAAUAGCAGGAUGUGAGGGAAAGAAGCUAUCCCUAGGCACACGUCAAAAGAUGAUCUAGUAGAAAGAAUCUAAAAUGACCUAAGGAGCUUAAGCACUAUACAAACCCCCUUGAUGUGACUUGUCAUGCCUGAAGGACUAAACUUAUUGAUAGGAGUGGGGAAAUCCAACCUGGUAAGACUGAUUGAUAUUCACCAAAUUGCUCUGCCUCUGUUUACAAGUGCCACAUGUAUGCCUAACAGCUAAGGCUAGGCUGGGAAUUGUAAAUAAGGGAAGAAAUUUAUUUAAACUAUGGCAUGACCUAUCAUCACCAUGUUCACUGAAACAAAGUAUUAGCUGAAAUGAUGUAGCUUGAAAAUAAUGAAAUGUGCUAGAAGACAGUUUUAUUAGGCAUUUUCAGAGUUGGAGGGAACAAACCAAAUCUGACUCUGAAUCUGAAGAGUAGGAGAGCAUUUAAGUGUAAUGUGAAUCCUGUUUCAUCUUUAUAAAUGUAAAGAACUAAGCAUAAGAGAACAUUAAGUGAUUAGCUUAAAUGUGCAUAUUCAUGAUGGUCCUGAGAAGAUUGUUUUAUUGACAUCUGAUUCACUUCCUUUCAUAUGUCUAUUCAAACACUGUAUUGAAUUCUAACAAGCUAAGCAAUUCCUCUAAUUAAAAAAAAAUGACUAGGGUGAUGCCUUAAAUUUACUUAGAAAUGGAUGCUUUGCUAUAAGACUUAAGCAUUUCAGCAAAUACACUAACAAAACCAUCUAAGGAUAAAAUUAUUUUUGUAAACUCAAAACAGCAAACCGUGUAAAACAGCUGAGUUAGUUAUUUGGGGUUAUUUGGAUAUCUCACCACAUUACUGUAUUAAUGUAAAAUGUUCUUCAUCUUUGCUUGUUAAUCUAGAUUAACAGGAAAAUAUCAGCAUAAAUAUCUUCACAGGGUUUUUUUUCAUCAAGUCAUGCUUUUGUAACUGUCACCCUAGAAUGGGAGGGGACAUAAGCUCUUGCCUUCUUUCCAAGAAAACAUUGCAGAUUACCAAAAGAGAAGAAACAGCUAAUACCCUGAAUUGUCUGGAACAGACCUUUCUAGGCUUUUCACUGUCUUCUGCUUUCAGCAUUUUGAAUUAUUCAUCAUUUUUCUGUUUGACCUGUCUUGUUUCAAAGUAAAAGGCCAACAGAAAUGAAAAACAACUGGAAAUAUAUAACCACUUUCUUUCAAGUCACAAAAGCAUGUCUAUAAAUGUACCUGUGUAGUGUGUAGAAUAAUUUCAGAAUCAAAAUAAUAUCUGCUUCUGUCACAACUGUAAAAUCUGAAAGAAUUUCAGUUUUAAGAAUUGUAAAUAAGGUGAGUUUGAUUUUUAAUAUAAAUAAUAUUUCUCUAUAUCGACUUCCCUUCCCUUGUUGUUUGUAAUUAAUUUCUUAUAAUGAUCCUCAGAGAACUUAUGGUUUAAUUGCUUUUUCUAGAGAAUAGUUUGUAUGGUUUGAAAUGACAGGUGGUUAUAAGCUAAUAAAACAUAUUCCCUAGACCCCAGCUUUAAAAGCUCCAUGCAAAAUGAAGUAAACUGGCUUUAUUUUGCAUUUUGACUGUAUCAAAUCCUCAAUGGGCAGCCUCUCACACCAACCAGCCAGCCAACCAAAACUUUCUUAAUAUCAUACAACCUGAAAGAAAAUACUAAGUUUUUCAAGACUUCAUUGAAUUUUAUUUGAUUCUUCCCUUUACUACAGUCUUUUUCCUUCAUGGAAAGCAACAUUAGGAAAUCCUUUUUAAAUUCUUUAUCCAAAUAAUUUUUCAUAGCAGGAUAAUGUGCAGAAAGAUUUAAUUGGUUCAAGUAAUCAAUUUGGAAAGUUUUGACAGCAUGACCGGGAAUUUUACUUAAGCAAUAACACUCUUAAUUGACAACAGAUUCUUACAACAGUUCAUCAGUUAAACCUGUGUCAUCAUUCACUGAGUUGUAAAUUUUAUGAGGACAUAAUGCUAGUUAUAUAAAUUUCAUUUUUCUCGAGCUUAAAAUAUUCUAUUCAACAAAAGCCUAGUCAUCAUGAAUAGCUGUAUGGUUUCUUGAUAGAUGGGUAGGUUAAAGAAGGUUAAGUAGAUACGAGUGUAAAGUAAAUAAAAGGGUGAAUUGGGAGCAUUCCUCUUACACACAGACAUUCUUGAUAACUGUUUACUUUAGCAUUAAUUACUUUGUUAGAAGUUUCCAUCAAAACUGAAAUUUGGAGUCUCAGUUCAAGUGGAUAGUAUGGCUACUUUAAUGGUGUGAGAAUUUUUUUCACUUUGGCGAGAAGAAUAAAAAAAAGGCUGGAAAUUGAAAGUGUUAUAUCUCAUCAGAGUACAGCUGUUAUUAGAGGGGAAGAGAUGUGGAAACAGACAUGUCAAACACGUCUGAACAGACAUCAAAUACAAUAAAAAUCAGUAUCUUGGACAUUAUACCAGCCCUUUGUCAUGUCACUUCUGGUUUUCCUGCAUAAG